AGAACGAACGCUGGCGGCAGGCCUAAAACAUGCAAGUCGAGCGCCCAGCAAUGGGAGCGGCGGACGGGUGAGUAACACGUGGGAACGUACCUUUCGGUUCGGAACAACUCAGGGAAACUUGAGCUAAUGCCGAAUUCGCCCUAACGGGGAAAGAUUUAUCGCCGAAAGAUCGGCCCGCGUAAGAUUAGCUAGUUGGUGAGGUAACGGCCCACCAAGGCGACGAUCUUUAGCUGGUUUGAGAGAACGACCAGCCACACUGGGACUGAGACACGGCCCAGACUCCUACGGGAGGCAGCAGUUAGGAAUCUUGGACAAUGGGCGAAAGCCUGAUCCAGCCAUGCCGCGUGAGUGAUGAAGGCCUUCGGGUUGUAAACUCUUUCGACGGGGACGAUAAUGACGGUACCCGUAGAAGAAGCUCCGGCUAACUUCGCGCCAGCAGCCGC
rnacentral:rRNA from 1 species